CCUACGGGAGGCAGCAGUGAGGAAUAUUGGUCAAUGGGCGAGAGCCUGAACCAGCCAAGUCGCGUGAGGGAGUACUGCCCUAUGGGUUGUAAACCUCUUUUGUCGGGGAGCAAAAGCAGGACGUGUCCGGCUGUGAGAGUACCUGAAGAAAAAGCAUCGGCUAACUACGUGCCAGCAGCCGCGGUACUACGGGGGAUGCGAUCGUUAUCCGGAUUUAUUGGGUUUAAAGGGGGCGCAGGCGGAUUUUUAAGUCAGCGGUAAAAUCGUGGGGCUCAACCCCAUCCAGCCGUUGAAAAUGGGGAUCUAGAGAGUGCGAGAGGUAUGCGGAAUGCGUGGUGUAGCGGUGAAAUGCAUAGAUAUCACGCAGAACCCCGAUUGCGAAGGCAGCAUACCGGUGCACAACUGACGCUCAGGCACGAAAGCGUGGGUAUCGAACAGGAUUAGAUACCCUAGUAGUC
rnacentral:rRNA from 1 species